AUUAUCAAGGGAAGAUGGAAAUAUUAUACAAGUAACAAAUUUUUGUUAAUUUAUAAUAAUUUCCCGCAUUCCCAGGGCGUUUGUUACUCUCAUGAGAGUCUAUGCGCACCUAGAGCGUACACGAUGAUACCCGAAAGAUGGUGAACUAUGCCUGGCCAGGACGAAGCCAGGGGAAACCCUGGUGGAGGUUCGCAGCGAUUCUGACGUGCAAAUCGAUCGUCAGAGCUGGGUAUAGGGGCGAAAGACCAAUCGAACCAUCUAGUAGCUGGUUCCCUCUGAAGUUUCCCUCAGGAUAGCUUGCGCUCGAUUUUAAGAGUCUCAUCCGGUAGAGCGAAUGAUUAGAGGCAUUGGGGUCGAAACGACCUCAACCUAUUCUCAAACUCCAAAUAGAUGAGAU
rnacentral:rRNA from 1 species